ACUAAAUAGAUACCCAGGUAGUCCACGCCCUAAACGAUGUCUACUAGUUGUCGGGUUUUAAUUAACUUGGUAACGCAGCUAAACGCGUGAAAGUAGACCGCCUGGGGAGUACGGUCGCAAGAUUAAAACUCAAAGGAAUUGACGGGGACCCGCACAAGCGGUGGAUGAUGUGGAUUAAUUCGAUGCAACGCGAAAAACCUUACCUACCCUUGACAUGUACGGAAGCUUGGAGAGAUCCGAGUGUGCUCGAAAGAGAGCCGUAACACAGGUGCUGCAUGGCUGUCGUCAGCUCGUGUCGUGAGAUGUUGGGUUAAGUCCCGCAACGAGCGCAACCCUUGUCAUUAGUUGCUACGAAAGAGCACUCUAAUGAGACUGCCGGUGACAAACCGGAGGAAGGUGGGGAUGACGUCAAGUCCUCAUGGCCCUUAUGGGUAGGGCUUCACACGUCAUACAAUGGUACAUACAGAGGGCCGCCAACCCGCGAGGGGGAGCUAAUCCCAGAAAGUGUAUCGUAGUCCGGAUUGUAGUCUGCAACUCGACUAC
rnacentral:rRNA from 1 species